AACUGAUACUACCUGCGGGAACCUGCGGAGGGAUCAUUAUCGAGUUUACAACUCCCAAACCAUUGUGAAUCUUACCUUUUCGUUGCUUCGGCGGGAUCGCCCCGGGCGCUUCGGUGCCCCGGAUUCAGGCGCCCGCCGGGGGACCUAAACUCUUGUAUUAUAGUGGAUUUCUGAGUGGAUUACACAAAUAAUCAAAACUUUCAGCAAUGGAUCUCU
rnacentral:misc_RNA from 1 species